CAUCUGGCUGUUGUGGUGUGCAAAAUUUUGUACAUUGCUUUUUGCCGCACUGCAACACUUUACAGA